rnacentral:rRNA from 1 species
GACGAACGCUGGCGGCGUGCUUAACACAUGCAAGUCGAACGGAAAGGCCCUGCUUUUGUGGGGUGCUCGAGUGGCGAACGGGUGAGUAACACGUAAGUAACCUGCCCUUGACUUUGGGAUAACUUCAGGAAACUGGGGCUAAUACCGGAUAGGAGCUCCUGCUGCAUGGUGGGGGUUGGAAAGUUUCGGCGGUUGGGGAUGGACUCGCGGCUUAUCAGCUUGUUGGUGGGGUAGUGGCUUACCAAGGCUUUGACGGCUAGCCGGCCUGAGAGGGUGACCGGCAACAUUGGGACUGGGAUACGGCCCAGACUCCUACGGGGGGCAGCGGUGGGGAAUAUUGCACAAGGGGCGGAAGCCGGAGGCAGCAACGCCGCGUGCGGGAUGACGGCCUUCGGGUUGUAAACCGCUUUCGCCUGUGACGAAGCGGUAGUGACGGUAAUGGGUAAAGAAGCACCGGCUAACUACGUG